rnacentral:misc_RNA from 1 species
AGCAGCCGCGGUAAUUCCAGCUCCAAUAGCGUAUAUUAAAGUUGUUGCAGUUAAAAAGCUCGUAGUUGAAUUUCGGGAUUAGUAAGUUGGUCGUGCCUCUGGUAUGUACUGGCUUUACUGGUUCCUCCUUCUUGAAGAACUGUAAUGUCAUUAAUUUGGUGUUGCAGGGAAACAGGACUGUUACUUUGAAAAAAUUAGAGUGUUUAAAGCAGGCUAACGCUUGAAUACAUUAGCAUGGAAUAAUGAAAUAGGACGUUUGAUCCUAUUUUGUUGGUUUCUAGGAUUGACGUAAUGAUUAAUAGGGAUAGUUGGGGGCAUUAGUAUUCAAUUGUCAGAGGUGAAAUUCUUGGAUUUAUUGAAGACUAACUACUGCGAAAGCAUUUGCCAAGGAUGUUUUCAUUAAUCAAGAACGAA